rnacentral:rRNA from 1 species
GAUGAACGCUGGCGGCGUGCCUAAUACAUGCAAGUCGAGCGAACGGACGAGAAGCUUGCUUCUCUGAUGUUAGCGGCGGACGGGUGAGUAACACGUGGAUAACCUACCUAUAAGACUGGGAUAACUUCGGGAAACCGUAGCUAAUACCGGAUAAUAUUUUGAACCGCAUGGUUCAAAAGUGAAAGACGGUCUUGCUGUCACUUAUAGAUGGAUCCGCGCUGCAUUAGCUAGUUGGUAAGGUAACGGCUUACCAAGGCAACGAUGCGUAGCCGACCUGAGAGGGUGAUCGGCCACACUGGAACUGAGACACGGUCCAGACUCCUACGGGAGGCAGCAGUAGGGAAUCUUCCGCAAUGGGCGAAAGCCUGACGGAGCAACGCCGCGUGAGUGAUGAAGGUCUUCGGAUCGUAAAACUCUGUUAUUAGGGAAGAACAGAUGUGUAAUUAACUGUGCACAUCUUGACGGUACCUAAUCAGAAAGCCACGGCUAACUACGUG